GGUGCUAUAGUGUAGUGGUUAUCACUCGGGAUUUUGAUCUGACGCCGGCCUGAGGCUCGUUCCCGAAACCCAGGUUCGAACCCUGGUAGCACCU
rfam:Trametes pubescens strain FBCC735 TRAPTBscaffold_324, whole genome shotgun sequence.